rnacentral:rRNA from 1 species
CCUACGGGAGGCAGCAGUGAGGAAUAUUGGUCAAUGGCCGGAAGGCUGAACCAGCCAUGCCGCGUGAAGGGCAGGGGCCUAGGGGCGGUAAACUUCUUUUGUGCGGGAGCAAUAAUGGUCACGUGUGGCCAGACGAGAGUACCGUACGAAUAAGCAUCGGCUAACUCCGUGGCAGCAGCCGCGGUAAUACGGGGGAUGCAAGCGUGAUCCGGAUUUAUUGGGUUUAAAGGGUGCGUAGGCUGUGAGGUAAGUCAGCGGUGAAAUGCCCCCGCUCAACGGGGUGAAGUGCCAUUGAUACUGGCUUGCUGGAAUGCGGGUGCCGUGGGAGGAAUGUGUGGUGUAGCGGUGAAAUGCAUAGAUAUCACACAGAACACCGAUUGCGAAGGCAUCUCACGAAUCCGCGAUUGACGCUGAUGCACGAAAGCGUGGGUAUCAAACAGGAUUAGAUACCCUAGUAGUC